ACAAACUAACCCCCGAUUCGUCACCAACGAGGAUUUCUCUCCUAGUUUUUACCCAAACCAUGAGGAGGAAUCUCCCUAGUUGGUCAUGAAACCAGGGAUAAAAUUCCCUUCGGUAUGAUUUUGAGAAAAUCAAGGAAAUUUUGGAUCUUGAUGCAAAGCAUAUAAGGGAUUUUUUUCUCCUAAUUUCGUCUUCCAAAUCUAUGGGCUUGAGUCGUAAAACCAACGAAAAAUCGCUUGUUGAUGGUGAUUGCGAUGACGAGAAGAAAAUGGUGGUAGUGGUUUUUGAAGAUGAAGAUUGUUACCGGUGGUAGUGAUUUUUAGUUUCAGACGAGUGGUCGCGACGAUUGUAGAGAUAGAUAGCUAUGAGGUUUGUGAUAUAGGUGGUGGUGCUGAUGGUGUGU
rnacentral:lncRNA from 1 species